CCGAGGUAGGCAGCACCACGGAAAGGAUAUGCUACAGCCACCAACGCUCUACUGUACCAUGAGAACAGGGCUGCUGUGGACAAUGCUGUUCCUUCCUGAUAAGUUGAAUACAGACUUCUUGCGGCUAGGCGUCGACUUCGGUGGCGGCGCGUUGGACAGUCAACACACUUGUGACAAACUGCAUCUUUUUUGCAGAUUUGCUGUUACCACUGGCCGGCCUGCAUGACAUCAGUUGUGGAUGUUCCCGGAGCUGUGCCGACAGGACUUAGGAGACUGAAUUGCAGUGGAAGGAGCCCCUUGCUUGGCCUGCUAAGCAAGAGUAUAGACCGUUUUCACGGAGAGCAGGAGCGUGGCCUCGAACCGGCGCAUUUCUGUCACUCUCUCUCU